rnacentral:lncRNA from 10 species
CCAGCAGCUCCCUUGGUAGGGGCAUGCAGAAGACCUGAUGACACAAACCCUCCAAAGAGUUUCACCCUCACCACAACAGGUGGCUUCCUGCUCGGCAGCCCAUCCUGCAUCACUUCAGUGGACUUCUCUGACAUCUACUAGACCACAUUAAAUGAAUCACAGCCUUGAAACUGAACUGGAAGGACUUCCUUCAAGGAGCCAGCAUAUGAACUUGCUGCCUAUCUUUAGCAAGGAGAUGCAAAUGACAUCCACAAACCUCUUCUGCUGUAUACCUGGAUGAAAGCAAGGCUAGCUGUGUGUCCUAUGGCACCAAGGACUGAAAGAUUGUAAGAAGUAAGAGGGAAAGUGAUCCAAAAAGGUGGAACACCUAAUGUACAGCCCCAAGGAAGGAGCAUACUUGGAGAAUUCAAGGAACAGAAAGAAAAACAGGAAGGCUGGAGUGAAACUGAUUAAAUAAAGCAUCGUAACAUUAGAGGUCCAUCAUAGAGGCCAAGCCAAAUACAACUAUGUUUUCAAGCAUAAGAUGGAUAGAUGUGGUAAACCACAAGAAGCAAACAGCCCUUUAGAGGUGUGGAUUGACCUUGCAGAGUUACAAGUGGAGCCAGGAGAAAUCAUGUUGAGUGGGACUUCUCAUCCUACCUAAGAGAGACUAACAGAUGGAAAGCUGGGUACAGAAGGGAGAGAAGGCAGUAACAGUCAGAUUUCAAUACGCUGAGACUGUGACGUGGGACUUUUGAGUGAGUAACAUCUGCUCCUAGAACUGAGUUGAGUGGGGAUCCUCCCACACCACCCAGGCAAGAGAACUAACAAUUGAUGACUGCUCCAAAUCAGUCGCCAGUCUACCUAAUACUUCUACCUGGUAGGUAGCCUGAUACCCACUAACAUCAGGUAGGUUCUAUAUGAUUAAUAGUUCAUAAGAUAAAUAUUAAUCAUUAGCAAUUUUCAAAGCUGAGGUACAGCUACUUCAAAAAUGAAGAAGGAAUGCAGAUGAAGAGUCUCCAGACUCUUCAAGAGACUCUCUGCAAGCAAAGUCUCCAGAGUUCUGAGGGAAAGAAGCAAACAAAGAAUCACA